GACGAACUGUUCUAACGUUAUUCGGAAUCACUGGGCUUAAAGGGUGCGUAGGCGGCUCUGCAAGUUGGGUGUGAAAUCCCUCGGCUCAACCGAGGAAUGGCGCCCAAAACUGUGGAGCUCGAGGGAGACGGAGGUGAGUGGAACUUGUGGUGGAGCGGUGAAAUGCGUUGAUAUCACAAGGAACACCGGUGGCGAAAGCGGCUCACUGGGUCUCUUCUGACGCUGAGGCACGAAAGCGUGGGGAGCGAACGGGAUUAGACUACCCCCGUAGUCCCUGA
rnacentral:rRNA from 1 species